GACGGAGGAUGCAAGUGUUAUCCGGAAUCACUGGGCGUAAAGCGUCUGUAGGUGGUUAAAUAAGUCAACUGUUAAAUCUUGAGGCUCAACCUCAAAAUCGCAGUCGAAACUAUUUGACUAGAGUAUAGUAGGGGUAAAGGGAAUUUCCAGUGGAGCGGUGAAAUGCGUAGAGAUUGGAAAGAACACCGAUGGCGAAGGCACUUUACUGGGCUAUUACUAACACUGAGAGAAGAAAGCUAGGGUAGCAAAUGGG
rnacentral:rRNA from 1 species